GUGGGGAAUAUUGCACAAUGGGGGAAACCCUGAUGCAGCGACGCCGCGUGAGUGAAGAAGUAUUUCGGUACGUAAAGCUCUAUCAGCAAGGAAGAAAAUGACGGUACUUGACUAAGAAGCCCCGGCUAACUACGUGCCAGCAGCCGCGGUAAUACGUAGGGGGCAAGCGUUAUCCGGAUUUACUGGGUGUAAAGGGAGCGUAGACGGUAUGGUAAGUCAGAUGUGAAAGCCCGGGGCUCAACCCCGGGACUGCAUUUGAAACUAUCAGACUAGAGUGCAGGAGAGGUAAGUGGAAUUCCUAGUGUAGCGGUGAAAUGCGUAGAUAUUAGGAGGAACACCAGUGGCGAAGGCGGCUUACUGGACUGUAACUGACGUUGAGGCUCGAAAGCGUGGGGAGCAAACAGGAUUAGAUACCCUUGUAGUCC
rnacentral:rRNA from 1 species